UACGUAGGUGGCAAGCGUUGUCCGGAUUUACUGGGCGUAAAGGAUGCGUAGGCGGAUAUUUAAGUGAGAUGUGAAAUUCCCGGGCUUAACUUGGGAGCUGCAUUUCAAACUGGGUAUCUAGAGUGUGGGAGAGGAAAGUGGAAUUCCUAGUGUAGCGGUGAAAUGCGUAGAUAUGUGGAGGAAUACCGAUGGCGAAGGCAGCCCCCUGGGAUAACACUGACGCUCAUGCACGAAAGCGUGGGGAGCAAACAGG
rnacentral:rRNA from 1 species